AGUGGUACCAUAGCUCAGUGGUACAGCAUCUGCAAGCUGAAGAUCCUGGGUUCAAACCCCAGCAUUU